GUGAAUCAUCGAAUUUUUGAACGCAAAUUGCACUCUCUUCGUAUAGAAUGCCUGUUUGAGUUUCAGCCUAAAAAAAAUCGACAUAGUCGCUGUUUCGCGUUUACAUUCGUCGGAAAUUUGGUCGUCUUAGACCUUUGGGUUUUUUAAGUGUCUUAAAAUUUUCGUUACGAUUCCACGAACGUUUCUAAGAUUUUACUUCUUACACUCGUUUAAGGUAUCGAUCUUUAUUAGACGUUGCCGUUGCAGCUGAUCGCGUCCAUAAGUGUUUCGUUUACUGAC
rnacentral:misc_RNA from 1 species